GACGAACGCUGGCGGCGUGCUUAACACAUGCAAGUCGAACGGAAAGGCCCUGCUUUUGUGGGGUGCUCGAGUGGCGAACGGGUGAGUAACACGUGAGUAACCUGCCCUUGACUUUGGGAUAACUUCAGGAAACUGGGGCUAAUACCGGAUAGGAGCUCCUGCUGCAUGGUGGGGGUUGGAAAGUUUCGGCGGUUGGGGAUGGACUCGCGGCUUAUCAGCUUGUUGGUGGGGUAGUGGCUUACCAAGGCUUUGACGGGUAGCCGGCCUGAGAGGGUGACCGGCCAAACGGGAAAUGAGACAGGGGCCAGAAGCCUAAGGGAGGGAGCGGCGGGGGAGGUUCGGCGAUGGGCGGGGGCGUGACGGAGCAACGCCGCGUGAGGGAUGACGGCCUGCGGAAAGGAAGAAUCGGUUAGGGGGGAAGAACAAAGGUGUAAGUAACAAUGCGCGUCGAGACGGUAGCUAAGCAGAAAGGGACGGCGAACUACGGG
rnacentral:rRNA from 1 species